UUUGGAGUCUUGCACAUCCUCCAUGAACCUAUCUGACUGCAUACCUGUUCACCAUCACCAAUGCUUUCCAAGGAAUGUUCAUCUUCAUCUUUCUCUGCGUCUUAUCAAGAAAGAUUCAGGAGGAGUACUACAGGCUUUUCAAAAAUGUGCCGUGUUGUUUUGAAUGCCUGAGAUGAAUUCCUGCACCCAAAGGCUGAUGAUUCACGCCAUGUGUAUAGUUGUCAUCUCUGCACUGCAGCUUUGCAAUAUCCUGUGACUCAAGCUCUCCUAUUUGGAAAAACAUAGAUGGAGGAAUUGUAAAGUACAGCUGGCUAAUAAAUAAGUACAUAAAGCUUGGUCAUCAAACUGUCUUUUUCUCUGUUUGAAAGACUGCUGCUGUGUGUACACAGCGUUCGUUUUAUGCUCAGGAUCACUGUGUACACACACAUAGCUUGUUCACCACCUAUCAAAAUUUAGGAUUUUUUCUCUUUUGAUCAGAAAUAUACUGCAAAUAACAUACACCCUGUUGUAUCAGUGCUUGUUGAUGCUUUUGUUGUGUUUAAAAUGAAUAUGUAAAUUAUUAAAAUCAAUGUGGUAGACAUCA